UGCAGUCGAACGGCAGCACAGAGGAGCUUGCUCCUUGGGUGGCGAGUGGCGGACGGGUGAGGAAUACAUCGGAAUCUACUCUGUCGUGGGGGAUAACGUAGGGAAACUUACGCUAAUACCGCAUACGACCUACGGGUGAAAGCAGGGGAUCUUCGGACCUUGCGCGAUUGAAUGAGCCGAUGUCGGAUUAGCUAGUUGGCGGGGUAAAGGCCCACCAAGGCGACGAUCCGUAGCUGGUCUGAGAGGAUGAUCAGCCACACUGGAACUGAGACACGGUCCAGACUCCUACGGGAGGCAGCAGUGGGGAAUAUUGGACAAUGGGCGCAAGCCUGAUCCAGCCAUACCGCGUGGGUGAAGAAGGCCUUCGGGUUGUAAAGCCCUUUUGUUGGGAAAGAAAUCCAGCUGGCUAAUACCCGGUUGGGAUGACGGUACCCAAAGAAUAAGCACCGGCUAACUUCGUGCCAGCAGCCGCGGUAAUACGAAGGGUGCAAGCGUUACUCGGAAUUACUGGGCGUAAAGCGUGCGUAGGUGGUCGUUUAAGUCCGUUGUGAAAGCCCUGGGCUCAACCUGGGAACUGCAGUGGAUACCGGGCGACUAGAAUGUGGUAGAGGGUAGCGGAAUUCCUGGUGUAGCAGUGAAAUGCGUAGAGAUCAGGAGGAACAUCCAUGGCGAAGGCAGCUACCUGGACCAACAUUGACACUG
rnacentral:rRNA from 1 species